ensembl:ncRNA F31E8.21 ncRNA
UCAUAAAUCUUAUCCUAAUGACCUUCUCGUGUGAAAGAUCCCACGAAAAGAACACACCAACGCAACCAAAUCGCCUCCUCCCUUUUCCUUCCCCCUCUUUUCUACCCCAAUUGAAUAUAUUUAUACAAGUAAUCGUGUUUGCCGACUCUGCACCGCACGCACUGUCUUUUUGGUAUAGUCGCUUUGGCGCUUGCGCUACGCGCCGGCCCUCCGCUUCGUCUCCGCUUCCAAUUUAUGUCUAGCGCCCUCCAAAAUCUUCCCCUUCAUUUUCACCGACGACAACGUCGU